CAAAACGUAGCUUAAUUCAAAGCAUCCGGCUUACACCCAGAAGACUUCGCACAUAUUCGAACGUUUUGA
rnacentral:tRNA from 1 species